rnacentral:lncRNA from 1 species
AACAAACAUUGAAGAAAAGAAACUAAAUACCGUAGAACACCAAUGCCUAAGAAAGAUCCUAAAAAUAAGAUGGCAAAGUAAAACAUCGAACAAAACAGUAAACGAAAUAGCUAACACCAGAAACAUCAGUUGUGAAAUCAGAAGGAGACGGUGGACAUGGAUAGGACAUACAUUAAGACGUGAAAGAGACAACAACAGCUAUGUAGCUCUAUAAUGGGCACCUGAAGGGAAAAGAACUAGAGGAAGGCCAAAAACUACAUGGAGAAGAACAACAGAGAGAGAAAGGAACCAACAAGGAUGGACAAGUUGGAACGUAGCCAGAACACCGGCAAAAGAUAGAAAAGGGUGGAAAAGCAGCGUGGAGGCCUUAUGCGACUUCUGGCGCGGAGAGAAUUAAGGUUAAGGUAAGGUUUCUC